GACGAACGCUGGCGGCGUGCUUAACACAUGCAAGUCGAACGGAAAGGCCCUGCUUGCAGGGUACUCGAGUGGCGAACGGGUGAGUAACACGUGGGUGAUCUGCCCUGCACUUCGGGAUAAGCCUGGGAAACUGGGUCUAAUACCGGAUAGGAGCCAUUUUUAGUGUGAUGGUUGGAAAGUUUUUUCGGUGUAGGAUGAGCUCGCGGCCUAUCAGCUUGUUGGUGGGGGAAUGGCCUACCAAGGCGGCGACGGGUAGCCGGCCUGAGAGGGUGGACGGCCACAUUGGGACUGAGAGACGGCCCAGACUCCUACGGGAGGCAGCAGUGGGGAAUAUUGCACAAUAGGCGCAAGCCUGAUGCAGCGACGCCGCGUGGGGGAUGACUGCCUUCGGGUUGUAAACUCCUUUCGCUAGGGACGAAGCUUUUUGUGACGGUACCUAGAUAAGAAGCACCGGCUAACUACGUG
rnacentral:rRNA from 1 species